AGUCUGGGGGCACCAUGCCAUAAACAUUGAUCCUGUCACAGAGCUCCAGUGCAAUUGUCAUUGUGAACCAGCCAGUGCUGAGCCAAGUGUUGGAUAUCUUCCUGGAAGGAACAAUAAUUAAGUCUGCAAGCUGCAGGCAUAGGAAUCUCUGUCCCCUGGGCUACUUGAGAGCUAAAUGGCAAGCAUGCACGGAAAGCACCAAGCUUGUGUUUUUUAGCAUCCCUGAAGAAAAUUCUUCGAACACUCUGCUACCGAUGACUGUAUAGGGGCCACCAUCCGUAGUCGGGGCAGGAAUUAUGACAUUCAGAAGCCUUCAGCCUACAUAGGUAUUAACACUUUUCCUUCUUUCUCACCAAGGCUAUGUAUUCUUAAGACCUUUGAGACUGAAAGAGCUGGGAUGAAGAAGAGCUGACUGAAUGGCAAAGGGUAAGAAGAGGAAGUGGCUUCCCUUAAGUUAGAGGCUGUUUUCACCUAUGGGCCAUGACAAUGCAUUGGCCAUGUGUUCUAGACCUAACCUGGAUGAGUGAAUAACUGGGAGGAUGUGGAACCCAGGAAAAGGAUGACAACUCACUUACACCUUCAGGAGACUGAUCUGGGAAUCACAAUUAUAUUCCCUCUGCUUUUAAGAGAGUGGGCACACCAAAGAGGGCUUUUUCCAGGGGCAGAAACUCUCCCAUCACUCUGGUUCUGUUUUGUGUGAUACAGUAGAGAUCACAAGCCACAGCCUGAAUACAGGAGGCUAUGACCGCACAGGAAAAGGCUUUGUGGAUAAAAUGGGGAGAAUGCAAAGUGGAGGACCGAUGAAACUAAAGUGAAGAGUUCUUUAAAGUGCCACUUAAAAUUCCCCAGACUUCUAAAUAACAGCCUUUUGG